ensembl:snRNA U6 U6 spliceosomal RNA
GUAUCAUGGGCAGCACGUAUACGAAAAUCAGAGCAACACAGAGAAGAUUAGCAUGGCCCCUGCACAAGAUGCCACUACACUUGGGUCACCUCAAACUUGGUUUU